rnacentral:rRNA from 1 species
CGUAGGCGGUCUUGUAAGUCAGAUGUGAAAGCUCUCGGCUUAACCGGGAAAGUGCAUUUGAAACUAUGAGACUUGAGUAUGGGAGAGGGAAGUGGAAUUCCUGGUGUAGAGGUGAAAUUCGUAGAUAUCAGGAGGAACACCGGUGGCGAAGGCGACUUCCUGGACCAAUACUGACGCUGAGGCGCGAAGGCGUGGGGAGCAAACA